ACCGACAUGAGCACGAGCAAUUUUUCACCAAAUUUCCGAGGACAGCUUUCAGCACCAACUUUCAGCAUAGUGACGAUUUCCAUUACGGCGACCAUGACAGGACAAUGAGGGUUAAGGCAUCUAAAAUUUCUGAGCUCGGCUUAAUACAAUAGUGUGAGUUUUCAUCAGUUUUGUGUGAGUAAUAGCUCUUUAUACGGUUCCGACAGUUCAUACGCUUCUAAUCUAUUAGAUUAUUUGAUAUAUUCUUUGUUCUUACCGAUAAACAGACUGACAAAUUGUCAAGAAAGUACUUCCUAAGAAACCUAUUUCUUCUGGCAUUCAAAAUAUUUCACCUUAAUUGACCUUGUGACAAUCGUCUUUUCGCUUAAUAACGCCGGAUCAUUUCUUACGAAAAAUAAUUUCGUGAUUGUGAGAAUAAUUGGGUAAUAUUCUAUUGACUAUUUCAUUAGGAAUAGCAUUUCAUUGGACUUUCAAUUUUUUUAUGAGGGCCGCAAGAAUUGUAAAGGGAAAUUUUUGUAAACCUAAAUGACUCUUCUUUGAAUACCCGUUCUUCCGCAUUUAAGCAGCGCUGGACUAUGAAACACUCCAAAAGUUCUUUAAGUUAGUAAGCCAAACGGUGACCCUCUUUCUCAACGCACACAAUAUAUAGAAGGUAUAUCCUUUUAAUCUACAUUUAUGCAUUUUUAUUUUCAUCAUUUGUAUUGCAACGGGCAUCUGAGGUUGAUUAAUUAUGAAAUUUCACGCAACAACUGUCCGCUUUGUUCUCCAAACACCUCAAACACCUCAAACAUCUCAAAAGAAAUUCAGUUUCAAUCUAAAUAGAACAAUUGUUUGCACCUACCGGACACGGGUGUAAGCACGACCCAUAUCAUAAGAACGCAAUCAAUUGUGGCAAUAUAAAGCGACAACAACAACAGCAGUAACAACAACAACAAUAACAACAUCCAUUUUACAACCGAAAAGGGCAGCGUGAAAUUUUGACGCCACCGCGAAUAAAUGAAAAACGAUGUUUAAAUUUCGCUUCAGUUUGAGAAAUUAUGUUAGCGAAGCAAUUCGAAACUCGUUGCUAAGCUAUAAGCUACUAAACUAAAUUUUACUUAAAUUAUAAAAAAAUAAGUUACAAUAAAAUUAAAUUCAUUUCCCACUAUGACUAAACCA